AGAGUUUGAUCAUGGCUCAGAAUCAACGCUGGCGGCGUGCCUCAGACAUGCAAGUCGAACGAGAAAGUUCCCUUCGGGGAACGAGUACAGUGGCGUCCGGGUGAGUAACACGUAGGUAAUCUACCUUCGGGUGGGGAAUAACCCAGGGAAACUUGGGCUAACACCGCAUAAUGCAGCGGCACCACAUGGUGACAGUUGUUAAAGCGGGGGAUUUUCGGACCUCGCGCCUGAAGAGGAGCCUGCGGCGGAUUAGCUAGUUGGUAAGGUAACGGCUUACCAAGGCGACGAUCCGUAGCCGGCCUGAGAGGGCGGUCGGCCACACUGACACUGACAUACGGGUCAGACUCCUACGGGAGGCAGCAGUCGGGAGUUUUGGGCAAUGGGCGAAAGCCUGACCCAGCAACGCCGCGUGAAGGAUGAAAUCCCUCGGGAUGUAAACUUCGCAAGAAUGGGAAGAAUGAACGAGCGCUAAUACCGUUCGUGAUGACGGUACCAUUUGUAAGCUCCGGCUAACUCCGUGCCAGCAGCCGCGGUAAUACGGGGGGAGCAAGCGUUGUUCGGAUUUACUGGGCGUAAAGGGCGCGUAGGCGGCCAGCGCAAGUCAGUUGUGAAAUCUCCGGGCUUAACUCGGAAAGGUCAACUGAUACUGCGCGGCUAGAGUGCGGAAGGGGCAACUGGAAUUCUCGGUGUAGCGGUGAAAUGCGUAGAUAUCGAGAGGAACACCUGCGGCGAAAGCGGGUUGCUGGGCCGACACUGACGCUGAGGCGCGAAAGCCAGGGGAGCGAACGGGAUUAGAUACCCCGGUAGUCCUGGCCUUAAACGAUGGAUGCUUGGUGUCUGGGGUUUUAUAGUCCCCGGGUGCCGCAGCUAACGCGUUAAGCAUCCCGCCUGGGGAGUACGGUCGCAGACUGAAACUCAAGGAUUGACGGGACCCGCACAGCGGUGGAGCAUGUGGUUCAAUUCGACGCACG
rnacentral:rRNA from 1 species